GAAUUCGCCCUUGGGGAAUUUUCCGCAAUGUGCGAAAGCCUGACGGAGCAAUACCGCGUGAGGGAGGAAGGCUCUUGGGUUGUAAACCUCUUUUCUCAGGGAAGAACAGAAUGACGGUACCUGAGGAAUAAGCAUCGACUAACUCCGUGCCAGCAGCCGCGGUAAUACGGAGGAUGCAAGCGUUAUCCGGAAUGAUUGGGCGUAAAGGGCCCGCAGGUGGCAUUGUAAGUCUGCUGUUAAAGAGUUUGGCUCAACCAAAUAAGAGCAGUGGAAACUACAAAGCUAGAGUGUGGUCGGGGCAGAGGGAAUUCCUGGUGUAGCGGUGAAAUGCGUAGAUAUCAGGAAGAACACCAGUGGCGUAGGCGCUCUGCUAGGCCGAGACUGACACUGAGGGACGAAAGCUAGGGGAGCGAAUGGGAUUAGAUACCCCAGUAGUCCUAGCCGUAAACGAUGGAUACUAGGCGUAGCUCGUAUCGACCCGAGCUGUGCCGGAGCUAACGCGUUAAGUAUCCCGCCUGGGGAGUACGCAGGCAACUGUGAAACUCAAAGGAAUUGACGGGGGCCCGCACAAGCGGUGGAGUAUGUGGUUUAAUUCGAUGCAACGCGAAGAACCUUACCAAGGCUUGACAUGUCACGAAUCCUAUUGAAAGAUGGGAGUGCCUUCGGGAGCGUGAA
rnacentral:rRNA from 1 species